rnacentral:rRNA from 1 species
UACGAAGGGGCCUAGCGUUGUUCGGAAUUACUGGGCGUAAAGCGCACGUAGGCGGCUUUGUAAGUUAGAGGUGAAAGCCCGGGGCUCAACUCCGGAAUUGCCUUUAAGACUGCAUCGCUAGAAUUGUGGAGAGGUAAGUGGAAUUCCGAGUGUAGAGGUGAAAUUCGUAGAUAUUCGGAAGAACACCAGUGGCGAAGGCGACUUACUGGACAGAUAUUGACGCUGAGGUGCGAAAGCGUGGGGAGCAAACAGG